CAGAGAAAAGUAGACGCCCAGCAAACACAGAACGUUGUGAGGACGUCGCCAGUUCGUCGUCAUUUGGUCAGCGCGACAUUACUUUAUGGUAACGUUGUGAGGACGUCGAGGUAAAGUUCCAUUUUUUAGAAUCUCAGCUAACGUCCCAGAAACGUCGCGGGCACGUCCUCAAAAGACGUCGCUAGUUAGUCCCAUUGGGGACGUUGUAGCGACGUGAUCAGCUGGUCUCCAGAUAACUUUUCAUAUUAUUCCACUACAUGUAUUAUUAUUAAGAUACCAUUUGAAUAGCCUAUUAUUUGAGAAAUAUACUAAAUUCAUCAAGCAUUUUAAAAGAUGGCAUGAAUUAUUAUUAUAUUUUUAGAUAUAUAAAACAUUUAUCAAAUUAACGACAAAACAAAUAACAAAUAGUUUGCUUAGCAAAUGGUGAUAAUGUUUGUUAAUGACAGAGAUUUAUUGAAAGAGGGCACGUGACAAAUUAACAUUUAAACUAGCAGCGCGCGUCACUUUCUGAGUACUGUAACGUUAAGUGCGCGUGCCCGUCAUUAACGGUCAACUUCCAGCGGACGGACACGGAGGAAAAGGUCCUGACUGCCACCAGUUGAGUCAAUGAUUCAGUGGAGAGACAGUCUGGACAGCAUUAACAAGACAACUAUUACAAAUAGAGACGGGUUUCAAAAACUGACACAACCACAUAUCAUCCAAAUCAUCUCCAAGUGGAUGGCAGCACGGAUCCAGGAUCAAGAGAUCAUUCUUCAUGAAGACUGUUCCAUAGGAAGCAGUGAAUCCUGGGUCAUCCUGACCAUUCUGCUGUCCUGGACGUGAGGAUAUGCUGAAACUGCGUAUCCAGAUAUACAAACAGCCUUCCUGGACCCACACGACUAAAGGCUCCGGAGGAGAGACAGGUAAUGACUGCCAAUUCCGAUCCGAUCUGAUACCAGUGAAGUUUUUUUUUAAAUCAGUGUAGAAUUUCUAUAUUUCUGUGUGUUGACCUGGGCCCGUAUUCACAAAACAUCUUAAGGAUAAAAGUAGAUCAUAACUUGUCGAUUUAGGAGAAAAUCUUAAAAAUAAUGGGUGUGUCAGUCCUAAAUUUAGGACUCCUAAAUUUUUGAUCUAAAAGUAUUUCACAAAGCAUUUUAGUGCUAAAACUAGCUCCUAAAUUUGUGAAACGUUAGGAGCAGUAAAGAGGACUCUUAAGUCACUAAGACCAAGCUGCAAACUAUCCUAAAAUGGCUGUUGCAGGCAACCUGUUUUGCGUGCAGUUUGGUUUUCUUUUAUGUUUGCAUGUCUUACUAUCAGCCAGGAUUAUUCUACUCUGUUAAUUUAAAGGCUGUUUAUAUGCAUAUCCACUAACUGUUUACGAGAAGCACACAUGAAAGAGGCUGACAAUUAGCUGAACAUACAGGCUACUUGUUUAUUUAGUGACACUUAGCCUGCAUUUUAAAAUCUUUAUUUGAAUGUGGCAAUUAACACUUAUUUUUUAAACCUUUAUUUGAAUAUGGCAACAUAAUAUUGCGCUCUCCAGUAUUACUAUAUAUAAACCUCUGACAGAGACCAUAAGCCAAUCACUGUGUGCAUAGUUAGUAAGCAUGCUGACAUCAUCCAUAUCAAUGAGGUCAACCCCAUCCCCUAACUCUUAGCUUAAGACUUCUGUCUAUUCCUUACUAAAAGUUUGUCUCAGCAGCUUUGUCAAUAGGUUUUAAGAGAAAACACUUAGCUAAAA